rnacentral:rRNA from 1 species
GACGAACGCUGGCGGCGUGCUUAACACAUGCAAGUCGAACGAUGAAGCCGGAGCUUGCUCCGGUGGAUUAGUGGCGAACGGGUGAGUAACACGUGAGCAAUCUGCCCUUGACUCUGGGAUAACUGCGGGAAACUGUAGCUAAUACCGGAUACGACACCCCGGGGCAUCCCAGGGUGUGGAAAGAAUUUCGGUCAAGGAUGAGCUCGCGGCCUAUCAGCUAGUUGGUGAGGUAAUGGCUCACCAAGGCGACGACGGGUAGCCGGCCUGAGAGGGUGACCGGCCACACUGGAACUGAGACACGGUCCAGACUCCUACGGGAGGCAGCAGUGGGGAAUAUUGCACAAUGGGCGAAAGCCUGAUGCAGCAACGCCGCGUGAGGGAUGAAGGCCUUCGGGUUGUAAACCUCUUUUAGCAGGGAAGAAGCGAAAGUGACGGUACCUGCAGAAAAAGCACCGGCUAGCUACGUGCCAGCCGCCACGGUAA